UACAGAGGGGGCAAGCGUUGUUCGGAAUUACUGGGCGUAAAGGGCGCGUAGGCGGCCUUCUAAGUCGAACGUGAAAUCCCCGGGCUCAACCCGGGAACUGCGUCCGAUACUGGAAGGCUUGAAUCCGGGAGAGGGAUGUGGAAUUCCUGGUGUAGCGGUGAAAUGCGCAGAUAUCAGGAAGAACACCCGUGGCGAAGGCGGCUCUCUGGGACGGUACUGACGCUGAGACGCGAAAGCGUGGGGAGCAAACAGG
rnacentral:rRNA from 1 species